CUGGCGGCGUGCCUAACACAUGCAAGUCGAGCGGUAUAUGUUGGAAUGAAACUUCGGUCGAGUGAAGACAUAGAGAGCGGCGGACGGGUGAGUAACGCGUAGGCAACCUGCCCCAUACAGAGGGAUAGCCUCGGGAAACCGGGAUUAAAACCUCAUAAUGCGAGAAGUUCACAUGGACUUUUCGCCAAAGAUUUAUCGGUAUGGGAUGGGCCUGCGUCUGAUUAGCUAGUUGGUGGGGUAACGGCCUACCAAGGCAACGAUCAGUAGCCGACCUGAGAGGGUAAUCGGCCACAUUGGAACUGAGACACGGUCCAAACUCCUACGGGAGGCAGCAGUGGGGAAUAUUGCACAAUGGGCGAAAGCCUGAUGCAGCAACGCCGCGUGAGCGAUGAAGGCCUUUGGGUCGUAAAGCUCUGUCCUUGGGGAAGAAUAAAUGACGGUACCCUUGGAGGAAGCCCCGGCUAACUACGUGCCAGCAGCCGCGGUAAUACGUAGGGGGCAAGCGUUAUCCGGAAUUAUUGGGCGUAAAGAGUGCGUAGGUGGUUUUGUAAGCGCGGGGUGAAAGGCAAUAGCUCAACUAUUGUAAGCCCUGCGAACUGUGAGACUUGAGUGCAGGAGAGGAAAGUGGAAUUCCUAGUGUAGCGGUGAAAUGCGUAGAUAUUAGGAGGAACACCAGUGGCGAAGGCGACUUUCUGGACUGUAACUGACACUGAGGCACGAAAGCGUGGGGAGCAAACAGGAUUAGAUACCCUGGUAGUCCACGCCGUAAACGAUGAGCACUAGGUGUCGGGGCCGCAAGGUUUCGGUGCCGCAGUUAACGCAUUAAGUGCUCCGCCUGGGGAGUACGCACGCAAGUGUGAAACUCAAAGGAAUUGACGGGGACCCGCACAAGCAGCGGAGCAUGUGGUUUAAUUCGAAGCAACGCGAAGAACCUUACCAGGGCUUGACAUCCCUCUGACAGUCCCUUA
rnacentral:rRNA from 1 species